rnacentral:rRNA from 1 species
CAUGCAAGUCGAACGGUAACAGGAAGAAGCUUGCUUCUUUGCUGACGAGUGGCGGACGGGUGAGUAAUGUCUGGGAAACUGCCUGAUGGAGGGGGAUAACUACUGGAAACGGUAGCUAAUACCGCAUAACGUCGCAAGACCAAAGAGGGGGACCUUCUGGCCUCUUGCCAUCGGAUGUGCCCAGAUGGGAUUAGCUAGUAGGUGGGGUAACGGCUCACCUAGGCGACGAUCCCUAGCUGGUCUGAGAGGAUGACCAGCCACACUGGAACUGAGACACGGUCCAGACUCCUACGGGAGGCAGCAGUGGGGAAUAUUGCACAAUGGGCGCAAGCCUGAUGCAGCCAUGCCGCGUGUAUGAAGAAGGCCUUCGGGUUGUAAAGUACUUUCAGCGGGGAGGAAGGGAGUAAAGUUAAUACCUUUGCUCAUUGACGUUACCCGCAGAAGAAGCACCGGCUAACUCCGUGCCAGCAGCCGCGGUAAUACGGAGGGUGCAAGCGUUAAUCGGAAUUACUGGGCGUAAAGCGCACGCAGGCGGUUUGUUAAGUCAGAUGUGAAAUCCCCGGGCUCAACCUGGGAACUGCAUCUGAUACUGGCAAGCUUGAGUCUCGUAGAGGGGGGUAGAAUUCCAGGUGUAGCGGUGAAAUGCGUAGAGAUCUGGAGGAAUACCGGUGGCGAAGGCGGCCCCCUGGACGAAGACUGACGCUCAGGUGCGAAAGCGUGGGGAGCAAACAGGAUUAGAUACCCUGGUAGUCCACGCCGUAAACGAUGUCGACUUGGAGGUUGUGCCCUUGAGGCGUGGCUUCCGGAGCUAACGCGUUAAGUCGACCGCCUGGGGAGUACGGCCGCAAGGUUAAAACUCAAAUGAAUUGACGGGGGCCCGCACAAGCGGUGGAGCAUGUGGUUUAAUUCGAUGCAACGCGAAGAACCUUACCUGGUCUUGACAUCCACAGAACUUUCCAGAGAUGGAUUGGUGCCUUCGGGAACUGUGAGACAGGUGCUGCAUGGCUGUCGUCAGCUCGUGUUGUGAAAUGUUGGGUUAAGUCCCGCAACGAGCGCAACCCUUAUCCUUUGUUGCCAGCGGUCCGGCCGGGAACUCAAAGGAGACUGCCAGUGAUAAACUGGA